AAAACGGCCCUUUUGAGGGCCACGCGCUAUAUUAAAAACAGGGCG
rfam:Macrostomum lignano uti_cns_0017256, whole genome shotgun sequence.